GACGAACGCUGGCGGCGUGCUUAACACAUGCAAGUCGAACGGAAAGGCCCUGCUUUUGUGGGGUGCUCGAGUGGCGAACGGGUGAGUAACACGUGAGUAACCUGCCCUUGACUUUGGGAUAACUUCAGGAAACUGGGGCUAAUACCGGAUAGGAGCUCCUGCUGCAUGGGGGGGGUUGGAAAGUUUCGGCGGUUUGGGAUGGACUCGCGGCUUAUCAGCUUGUUGGUGGGGUAGUGGCUUACCAGGGCUUUGACGGGUAGCCGGCCUGAGAGGGUGACCGGCCACAUUGGGCCUGCGAUACGGCCCAGACGCCUACGGGAGGCAGCAGUGGGGAAUAUUGCACAAUGGGCGGAAGCCUGAUGCAGCAGCGCCGCGUGCGGGAUGACGGCCUUCGGGUUGUAAACCGCUUUCGCCUGUGACGAAGCGUGAGUGACGGUAAUGGGUAAAGAAGCACCGGCUAACUACGUG
rnacentral:rRNA from 1 species